rnacentral:lncRNA from 1 species
ACCAUUCACCGUGACGUAAGGAAUAAGUCUCAAAUUAUAGUGGAACUUCCAUUUAAACUAAAACUAAUUCCUCAUCUAUUUCCCUUGCAAAUUGCAAUAUAACUAUAAAUUAAUCCCUUAAUUCUGACAAAAAAAAACAAACUUUAUCUUAAUUACCUAAGCUCUGCAUCCGAUCGAUCCCUUUAAAGUAAUUAAUCUCUCAUCUUUGUAAUGUAAAGGCAACAGCCUUUUUUCUGAUCAACUUGAGAGAAAAAAAAAAAAAAAAGAAA